CUCAACAACCGUUAUCUAGCCCAAAAAAUAGCAACGCGGUUUUCUGUGCCUUAUUUAGGUGCCACUUAGAUGCCUUUGCUUCUCUCUGAUGCUUUGAAAACGGAUGUUAGAGGGAAAUGAAACAUGUUGCACUGGACCCUAGUCAACACAACACUUAGCAACGGUUAGCGUUAGCCUAGCGUUAGCUAGCAGCUGGAGUAAACAUGGUUAAAAUCCUGCUGACAGCUAAACGGUGUAAAGUGGGACCGUAUUUGACUGGAGAGGAUUCAAA